AUUGAACGCUGGCGGCAGGCCUAACACAUGCAAGUCGAGCGAGCGGCGGACGGGUGAGUAAUGUAUGGGGACUGCCCGAUAGAGGGGGAUAACUACUGGAAACGGUGGCUAAUACCGCAUACUAUCGGAUAACCCAUAUGGGAUUAGCUAGUAGGAGGGGUAAAGGCGCACCUAGGCGACGAUCUCUAGCUGGUCUGAGACGAUGAUAAGCCACACAGUGACUGACACAAGGUCCAGACUCCUACGGAGGCAUGAGUGGGAAAAAUUGAACAAUGGGCGCAAGCCUGAUGCAGCCAGGCCGCGUGUAUGAAGAAGGCCUUAGGGUUGUAAAGUACUAGCAUCGGGGAGGCUUUACCCGCAGAAGAAGCACCGGCGAACUCCGUGCCAGCAGCCGCGGUAAUAC
rnacentral:rRNA from 1 species